GACACGGUCCAGACUCCUACGGGAGGCAGCAGUGGGGAAUAUUGGACAAUGGGCGAAAGCCUGAUCCAGCCAUGCCGCGUGUGUGAAGAAGGUCUUCGGAUUGUAAAGCACUUUAAGUUGGGAGGAAGGGUUGUAGAUUAAUACUCUGCAAUUUUGACGUUACCGACAGAAUAAGCACCGGCUAACUCUGUGCCAGCAGCCGCGGUAAUACAGAGGGUGCAAGCGUUAAUCGGAAUUACUGGGCGUAAAGCGCGCGUAGGUGGUUUGUUAAGUUGGAUGUGAAAUCCCCGGGCUCAACCUGGGAACUGCAUUCAAAACUGACUGACUAGAGU
rnacentral:rRNA from 1 species